GGUCCAAUGACCUUAGUGGUUAGAGCUUCCGCCCCGGAUGCGGAAGGUCGUGGGUUUGAUAUCCGGCUGAGUCA